rnacentral:lncRNA from 1 species
AGAGAUCUGAUGCUUUGGAGACACAAAAUUCCUUGCCUUGUGCCUGAGGCACAAAGUCAUGUAACAGGUGAAUGGGGAGGUUCUUCCAAGUUAAUCUCCCAUGUCGUUCUGCUCCACCCAUCCCAGGACAAAGAUUUAAAUGUAAGAGACUACAGGCAUUGCUUUUUUUCCUGCUAUCAGAAUGAAGACCAUUAUCUGCUUGCUGCUAGUCUUCUUGCUGGAUCUAAGACCUCUUCAUGGAGAAGAGGAAUCUUUGCCAACGAAAGCAGCAGGUACGAGGAAAAAGUAAUUUAAUCAGGUUGCCUGUGGAUCUUGUCUAAUUUGGAUUUCAAACAGAGUUAUUCACUAAAGUGUGAUUUGUCAGUAAUUCAAAGGGAAUAACAAUUUUUAGGUCAAAAGAGCUGAAUUGUAAACACUUCACAAAUCAGCAAUGUUUGUGCCUUUACGGCGUUGUAGAAUGUAGUUUUGGGACAAGAACACACUGGGAAGUAAAUGGGCGUAAAAAUUUGCAGGUCAAAAUAUCAAAAUCACUGUGUUAUUCUCUGAAGCCCUGUUAUAAAGCUGAUUUUAGACUCAUUGAAAGUGCAGAUGGACAUCAUUGACAAUGCAGAUGUUUGGGAAGCUCACUUCCUUUGAUAACUUUACCCUUUAAGUUCCUGACUCUCGAUAAAUUGGCCACUAUAAUCUUCACAGAAGCAACGGCAGCCAACAUUGAGCUGUCAAAUUUUCAUGGAUUUAGAGAAAUCAUGGGACGUGCAUUGCAGCAAUAAUUUGACUACUGGUUAUUCCUGUUCUAAGAUUUUGUUGUCUUAUAGUAAUUGGAGAUCUCACAGGCACUCAUUUUUUUUUUUUUUUUUUACAGUGCAAUAAAGUGACAGCUCCUAAAGGGUUGAGUAUGGUCCUAUCCAUAGAUUGAUACACUCACCAGUUUCUAAGCAUACAAGCAGCUCUUUCAUAAUGUGUAGAUAUACAAGGAAUAAGGCUUCCUAUAGUUCUAAUAUACAAAGACCAAAUAAUGACCUCUGUUUUUGUGAGCGGUAAUGGGGUGGUACAUUUUGUAUGGGCUGAUUGACUCAUUAGCAUGAGAUAUAGAUAAGGUUUGUUUGUUGAAAGGUUGGGGGUGACUUGGGAUUGAGAGGUACCUAUUUACAAGAUGCUGUGGACUGUAACAACCAUGAUUCUCAGCUUGGCCGAGCUAAGAAUUAUGUUACCGAACUCACAAGGCACUACAAUUCACAAUAAUAUUUAAUGCAAAAUGUUGCGCAUGAAUGUAUCACAGAGUUCCACAGUAAUAAAACUGACAAUUAAUGUUUAUGGGUGCAUGAAUGUAUCAUAGAACUCCACAGCAGUAAAACUGGUUAUAAUGUCACAGAUUCCUACAGUGAUAAAAUUCAUUGUACUGUGUGGAAUGUAUGUGUAUAGCGGAACACAUGAAAAUACAUUAUUAUCACUUACAUUCACAUAGCACCAGAGCUACAUUAUUUUGCUUAAUUUGCUUAUGGGAGAGAUGGGACAUCCAAAAUAACUAUUGCAGACUUGGCCUAGCUGGUGAUAAUAAAUAGACAUUUCAUGCUGACUUAGAGAUCAUAUUUUAUUUAUGUUAUUGAUUUACAUUUAUCUUUAAGAGGUUAAAAAUACCUUGGUUAAUUGUCCCGAGAAAACCCAUCCCCCAUCUAUGUCUUCUAUUUCCACUUCUUCUGUCUCCCACCCUCCUUUUCUCAAAUCUGAAUGAGAAGUCAUUCAUGCAUGAAAGGUAUUAUAAGGGCAAUUAUUGUGCUGUUGUUGUUUUUUUAAAUUUGUGUAUAGGUGAUUGCACAAAAUUUAAAUGGAUUGCAGCACAUAUUACUAAUGUAUUUAUCAGAGUACCUGUGUCUUGGCCAGCUUGUAACUAGUAGUGUCAGUCAGCAUACAUUUUUCUGUUCUUCUCUGAAAUUUUAUAAAUGGAUUUAGGAAUGUGUUACAAGCAUGUAAGAUCUAAUUGUUGUCCUAAACAAGUCACACAUUGUAGGUGCACUCUUUCUCCUAUGAAUAAGUCUUGCACUUUGAUUAUCUGUACUCAGCGAUAAUCCGUAAGAGUAUAGAUUACAAUUGAAUUCUAUCAAAGGGGACCAAAUGGCCCCAAGUCCAUUUUUUGGGGGGCAUCAAUUAUGGUGGAUGUAUUUCUCAAAGUCAUUAGAGUCUUUAGUGGGCAAGCCAUGCAGCAUUAAAAUUGGAUUAAAAGAAUGCACUGUGAUGGGUUGACUUGUAAAACCAACCAUCCUUCCUUCCAACCACGGAAUAGUUGUCGACAACAUUUGUCUGAAUCUUUGAAUUGCUUAUCAGAACAGUAUAUCUGAUUGGCAAUUUUUAAGGCAUUUCUUGGUAUGUUGCUGCAGGCAAUAGUUUCACUAGGCCAAAGACUUUCUGAGCAUCUAGACUCCGAAGCACAGCAUUUGGGGUCUCUGAUUUCUAACCUAAAACCGCCUGGUUCUGGAACUUUGCUAGAUUUGGUAGGGUUACUGCAUAUUUGACCUCCUCCUUCAAGAUAUACACGCAUGAUAGCUAAGCAUUGUGUAGGAGAUCCACACCCAGUCGAUAAUUCUCAUGGAAAUUUGGAAUAGAUGCAAGUAAUAUUUAUGAAAGAUUGAAUUAAUAAAAAUCAUAUCAGAAGUCUGAGAGCCAUCUGUCAGUGUGAUACUGGAAAUGGAGUACCUACCUGUUUUUUGUUUAUAUACAUACAUGAUGUUGCAAAAGUUUCUCUGAUUUAUUUUUUCCAUCUAUAUAUUGAAUUCAAGUUAUGAGGAAGCCCUAUGGAGCAUGAAGGGGUAAAGUAAUUGUUUGUUUCUGUGUACAUUAGUUAUGUCACAGGAAGGGGAGUCCAUAUAAUGGAGAUGGGUUUGUGUCACGGAAUUAUUCAACUGAAUAACAUGGACAGCUAUUCCUUAUAACAUUUGGAAACAUCUGAUAGAACUCGGACCCUUGUCAUAGCUUUUACGAUCUGCCAAAACAGCAUGGAGCCUUCAAGACAGUGAUGAUUGUUGUCUGCAUUGUUGGUCUAGGUCGAUUCUAACAUUGCAGAAAGGACUCUCUGCUUGUGUGCUGAAAUUCUCUAAUUCUUCAAUCUAGUACAAGGCAGGGGAGCUGCCAAGUGCAACUCAAGGUCAAUAGAAGCAUAGUAAAGACAUUCAUAAUCCAUGUGGGUUCUUCAAAGUUACUUAUAAAAUAUCAAAAACCUAAAAAAAGAAUAAAUCUAUAUUUCAGCCAUAUUACACAGCAAAUUGCAAAUAAGCAAAUUGUUACAAAGUAAAAAUAAAGCCACCAAAAUAAAAAUAUGUAGCAAUUAGAAUUACUUGGCAUACUAACCUAAAGACAUGUUAAAUACAUGAUAUAAAGCUGUAUUUCUGUAUUGACCACCCUAAUAGCUUUCAAAUACAGACUUCUCACUUCUUCUUAAUAUAUAAACAUCAUAGCACACCAUGCUUAUCUUUUCCAAAUACACAAGAAUCAGGGCACAGCCAUCUCGUCUCAUCCUAAUAUACAGAUAUUACAACACAACCCUCUUAACUGUUCCAAAUGUAGAGACAUACAGACACAUAUCUUCAGAACAUCUUUUUUAUACAGCCUUAAGCACUAGAGUUGAGCGGACACCUGGAUGUUCGGGAUCGGCCGAACUUUGGAAAAAAGUCCGGGCUCGAUCUUGACCCCGAACCCAAACCCCAUUGAAGUCAAUGGGGACCCUAACUUUUAGGCACUAAAAUGCCUCUAAAAAAGUCCUGGAAAGGGCUAGAGGGCGGCAAAAGGAAGUAAAAUGGGGGUAUGAGUAGGCCAAGUGCCCUGCAAACAAAUGUGGAUAGGGAAAUCACUUAAAAUAACAUAAAAAUACAGCUGAGCCAUAAAAUAGCACUAGAUGGAAUCUUUGAUUUUAGCUUUGGAAGAACAUAAAUCAAAAUCUAAAGCAUGGCUGUCAAGAGGAUCAACAGAAUUAUCCAUUUGAGAGAGGGUUGGAGUGCAGGGUAUUCUUUCAUUGUUCAAACUGAGCUCAACUCCUGAUGCAUGGAGAAAAGGCCUUCACAAGCCUCUGCUAUUGUGUACAUAGUUUAUACUACGUGACCCAUAGGUUGAGGAGGCGGUGGCCGUGGCGGUGUAGGUGGAAGCAGCGGUGGAGGAGGAGGAGGUAGCCAACACUGUUUUUUAUAUAUAUUAGAAGAGCAGAUCAGAGACUAUCCCUUUAUUACCCAUAAUUAUUAUUUAUUUUUAUUUUUUUAAAUUGGGGUAGCCCCCAAAAUAUUGGGACAUAUAAAAAAUAAAACUCUAUUCCGCAGAGCAACUGACCCGUGCAUGCUGCAUCUGAAACUCCACUAUCACCUGCUGCUCGCACAGUCUCUCAUGAGGCGGUGAGCAUGAAGGCCAAAGUUAAGCUGCAGCGCAGACAGGUGAGCAGCAGCAGGGUGAGAAUGCCGAAAGCGUGCACAGACGGCCCGCACUUUCUGCAGCAGCUCUGAUAUAUCUGGGUAUACACCGUGGCGGUGUAGGUGGAAGCGGCGGUGGAGGAGGAGGAGGAGCCAACAGGAGGCAAAGCGGUGUACCCAAAUAAAGAUUGUCAAACGUUGUAUCCUGGAACUGUGUCCCAUCCGGUUACUGGGGAAAUGGGUCUGACCUAUUCUAAUUAAAGGGGAUAGCCAUCGGUUACCCAGGUCCCGCUUAAAUUGGUGGCAAGCGGCGGGAUCCCAUGUCCCUGCCCAGGGCCGGUGCUAGGAUUUUUGACUACACAGGUGAAGAUGCAUUUUGACGCCCCCCCCACCCCCCCCAAAAUAAAAUACAAUGCAUCUUCACCUCUGUGUCUCGUAGCCCCCUUUUGAAUUUCUUACCCCCAUUAGUGUUGCAUAUCCACUCUCUUGAAUGUCUUAUCCCUUUGGCCCCUUUGUGCCUUACACCCCCCUUUAGUGUGUCUCCUACAACACCUCUUAUGUAUUUCUUACUUCCCCGCCAGCCCCUAUCUAUCUCUCUUUUUCUCCCACAUAGACAUAGAUACAGGCAAAAAUACAUACAUGCACAAAUACACAAACAUACAGACACACAACCAUACAAGCACACAGACAUAAUUUUUCAGGCACACAGUCACAAAGAUAUACAGACACACAGUCAUAAAAGGCACACAAACAAACACAGUCAUACAAUCUACACAUACAGGUACAUUGUCAUACAAACACAGACAUACAUUCAUACAGACACAGGCCCUCACAGAAAUACAGACUGACAUAAAGAAACAUAGAGAUAGGCAUACAGAGACAUACAUACACAGACAAACAAAUAACCCUGCACACUGAUACCGUGUAAAUGCUCCGGCCAUCAACAGUGGUGGAUGCUCCGUGUCAGGCGGACAUCGCUGGAUCCACCAGUAAAGUCUUCAAAAGGAAUAAACGCAGGCAACACUCCAAUAGUAAGGAUGGUAUAUUUAUUGGUAGGUGAACCACCCCAUAGAAAGUGUGAUGUUUCAGCUCAUGCAAUAAGGCUCUGCUGAGCUGAAACAACGCACUUUCUUUGGGGUGGUUCACCUAUCAAUAAAUAUACCAUCCGUACUAUUGGAGUGUUGACUGCGUUUAUUCCUUUUGAAUACAUACACACAGUCAUACAGAGACAUACAUACUGUAUGUCUCUGUAUGACGGUCUGUGUAUGUACACAGGAUGGCUAAAAGAUAGAUCCCCAUCUGUCGUGCAACUUCAACAAUGCUUUGAAAGCUGGGGCUCUACCGAUUCCCCAUGCUUGCAGUAUUGUAUUUAGCAUGGAGCAGUAUUUGUGUGUUUGACUGUAAGCAUGUGUUUGUAUGGAGUAUGUUUGUAUGAUUGUAGCAGUGUGUUUGUAUGUAGUGUUUGCAUUUGAAUGCAAGCAUGCAUUUAUGUGUAGUGUUGGUUUUUGAACGUAGGUGUGUGUUUAUAUAUAAUUUUGGUGUCUGAUACAGAGGUGUGUUUGUAUGUAGUGUUGACAUUUGAAUGCAGGGGUGUGUUUGUAUGUAGUGUUGUUGUUUGCAUGCAAGUGUUUAUUUGUGUGUAGUGUUGGUGUUUGAAUGCUGAGAUAUAUGCACAUAUACACAUACACUGCCACACACGCACACACUGUGAUACACAUACACAAAGAUACACACACUGACGCACAUGCAGAUAUACAUAUACACAAACGGAUACACAUUCAGAUAGACAGACACACAUAUACAGAUACACACAAACACUGACAGACAUACAGAUAAACAUACACUGACAUACAGACACGCUGACAGACAUACAGAUACACACAUACACAAUGAUAGACAUACACAAACACACAAAGACACACAGACAUACACACACUGACAGACAUUUAGAUACACACAGACACACGGACAGAGACAUUUACAUACACACACACACUGACAGACAUAGAUACACACACACUGACAGACAUAUACAAACAUACAGAUACACACAUACACAAUGAUAGACAUACACAAAGACACACUAACAGACAGACAUACACACACACUGACAUUUAGAUACACACAAACACACGGACAGAGACAUAUACAUACACACACACUGACAGACAUAUACAAACACACUGACAAACAUACAGAUACACACAUACACAAUGAUAGACAUACACAAAGACACACUAACAGACAGACAUACACACACACUGACAGACAUUUAGAUACACACAAACACACGGACAGAGACAUAUACAUACACAAACACUGACAGACAUGGAUACACACACACACUGACAGACAUGGAUACACACACACACUGACAGACAUGGAUACACACACACACACUGACAGACAUAGAUACACACACACACACUGACAGACAUGGAUACACACACACACACACACACACACACACACACACACACACACACUGACAGACAUGGAUACACACACACCUGACAGACAUGGAUACACACACACACUGACAGACAUAGAUACACACACACACACCGACAGACAUGGAUACACACACACACACUGACAGACAUAGAUACACACACACACACUGACAGACAUGGAUACACACACACACACUGACAGACAUGGAUACACACACACACACCCGACAGACAUAGAUACACACACACACACACACUGACAGACAUGGAUACACACACACACUGACAGACAGGAUACACACACACACACUGACAGACAUGGAUACACUACACACACACACACACACACACACACUGACAGACAUGGAUACACACACACACACUGACAGACAUAGAUACACACACACACACUGACAGACAUGGAUACACACACACACACACACUGACAGACAUGGAUACACAAACACACACACACACACACACUGACAGACAUGGAUACACACAGACACACUGACCAACAGGUUCAGGAGGGGGGCUUACCUGGGAUCCAAAGUGCUGCCUGAGGUAGUUGGGAGUUGGAGGAGCUGGUCCUGCCCAGCCCCCCUCCUCUCUGCCUUCUGCUGCUCUAGUCUUCUUGGGAGGACUUCCUCCCAUGCUGAUUAGAAAGGGGCCAGUGGUAGCUCCGCCCCUGCUGGGCGCCAGCCGCGCUGUGUGCUACAGUGGGAGCAGGGAUAUGACGUUCAUAUCCCCGCCCCCUCCACACAGUCCGCGGCACUGCAGGGUGGCGCUCGGCCACGCUACAAGAAGUGACCGGCAGGAGAGGGGAGCUGUGCGCUUCCCUCCUGCCGGUCACCCGGACAUUUCGCCCCCGGGCCGGUGCGCCCUAAGGCGGCCGCCUGUGCCGCCUUAUGGACGCGCCGGCCCUGUCCCUGCCAACAGACCCAUGGACUACAGUGCUCUAAAGCGACCUACACUGCAGGACUUGUGUGGAGCCAGAGGAAUAACGCCUGGUGGGCAUAACAAGAUAACAAGGCCAAAUUGACUGCUGCUCUCAUGCACGCAGUGAGGCAACGAACCCCAGCCAGGGGCCGGAGAUGAGGAGGAAGUGCGCAAGGAGUUGGAACGGUGCCUGGCAUAUUACCGAGAGCAACCCUCAGAGGAGAUUGUCAGCAGGACCUUUUUGGAGGUGCAAGCCUAUGUCUUUGCCAAUAGACAGAGGGCGACCUCCAUGAACCCAGAUGAAGGGAGCAGAGGGAGAAGACUUUGAGUGCCAGUGCCUACUCCAAAAAGUGGACCCCAGCGACUGGGUCACCUUCCUGGCCAGCAAACUAGUGAGGAAGGCAGCAGAUAUUUACCGGGCUGUAUCAGAAGAGCAGAUCAGAGACUAUCCCUUUAUUACCCAAAUCCUCCUGGCCCGGUAUGCGGUCACCCCCAAGCAAUACCGCUGAAAGUUUAGGAAGACCCGGAAAGGGGAGAAGGACUCCCAUGCAGAGUGGGCAAGCCGCAUCACAAGGGCCACCCAGAACUGGCUCAAUUCCCAUCAAGCCAAGUUAUGAAGAAGAUCACCCAGCUCGUCAUGCUAGAGCACUUUUUCAAUGUGCUCCCCAACGACAAGACGACAACGCAUUCGUAUGUCAAUCCAUAUCAACUUUCGAUGCCAUUUACUGCACCUACCAUGGUGACCACUGAUAACGGGGAAUCAGGGUUUCUGUAAUUGUAAUGAGUCCACUUGAAAUCCUUUAACUCUGAUCAACUGGAGGGCAAGUCUGGUGCAGAGCGACUGACCCGUGCGUGCUGCAGCUGAAACUCCACUAUCGCCUGCUGCUGCUCGCACAGUCUCUCCAGCUUGUGCAAGGUGGAAUUCCACCUUGUGGGCACGUCGCAUAUGAGGCGGUGAACUGGAAGGCAAAAGUUACGCUGCAGCAGCAGGGUGAGAACGGCGAGAGCGCACAGCCGCUACAGUGUAUGUCACAUCCUGUUCCAAGUUGCGUAUCAGUCUGAUGGCUUCUGGUAUCCAGUACUCCUAACUUCAACAUCAUGCAUACUGGGUCCCGGUCUUCCGACUGCUGCCCAGACAGUGUCUGGGUCCCGGUCACCGGACUGCGAAACUGCGAAUGGCUCGUUAAGUCUGUUAUGGUUCCUUUUAUCGUUUCAUUUGUUACUUGAAUUACUGUGGGAAUUCUAAAGAUAAUACAUGCCGACGAGCGCUAGGGGACGGCUGCGCCGCUUUUGCACCCUUCUCCCUCUUAUGCUGUGCUGGUGCCUCUGUGCGACCAGCGCCUCUUCCUCCAAACUGCACACGUCACUCGCAUGAACUUGAUUCCAUGUGGGGUCUAGGACCUCAUCCUCCACAUCAUCUUCCACCCACUCCUUAACCCUGCCUUCAUUGCCGGUCUGCACACUGCAGAAAGCCACAGCAGUUGGCACCUGUGUUUUUCCAGCAUGUAAAGUCUGCAAAGGACAUAUGGAAAUUGUUUUAGAAUUGUAUCCAGGCAACAGUUUUCCCUAUAAACUGACCUCUCAGUUUGACUUGUGAGGGUAUUGCCCCCGAAUUACAAUAUUGUUAUAUAGGUAUUUGACACUUCUAUUUGACUCUCAGAUAUGAAAAACACGCUCAAUAUGUACUGUUUAGCACCAAAACAAUUAGAAUUUUUACAACUGCGCUGUAAGUGCACUAUUUGACGCUUCGAUUUGACUCUCAGAUAUGAAGAGCACGCUCCAAAUUUACUAUUUUGCAGUUUAGCACCAAAACAAUUAGAAUGUUUACAACUAUUUGACGCUUCUAUUUGACUCUCAGAUAUGAAGACCAUGCCCAAAAUGUACCGUUUAGAAGCAAAACAAUUCGAAUUUUUAAAACAGUGCUGUAAGCGCACUAUUUGAUGCUUCUAUUUGACUCUCAGAUAUGAAGAGCACGCCCAAAAUGUACUAUUUAGCAGAUUAGCACCCAGAAAAUAAGAAUGUUUACAAGUGCGCUGUAAGCGCACUAUUUGAUUAUUAUAUUUGACUCUCAGAUAUGAAGAGCAGGCCCAAUAUGUACUGUUUAGCAGGAAAACAAUUAGAAUUUUUACAACUGCGCUGUAAGUGCACUAUUUGACGCUUCUAUUUGACUUCCAGAUAUGAAGAGCACGCCCCGAAUUUGCUAUUUAGCAGUUUAGCACCAAAACAAUUAGAAUGUUUACAACUGUGCUGUAACUGCACUCUUUGACGCUUCUAUUUGACUCUGAGAUAUGAAGAGCACCCCACUAAUGUACUUUUUUAGCACCAAAAGAAAUUUACUUUUUAAAACUCCGAUGUAACCGCAGUAUUUGCUGCUUCUAUUUGACUCUCAGAUAUGAAGUGCACCCCACUAAUGUACUAGUUUGCAGAAUUAUUUCCUAAUCUGUCCCUGAAAACGGCAGCAUCCUGUCCCUACACUAAUAAGAGCUCAUGUGACGUGUGGCGCUAUGUGACUCCAGCUUAUUUAUAGAGGCUGGGUCACAUGCUGCACUGGCCAAUCGCAGCCAUGCCAUUAGUAGGCAUGGCUGUGAUGGUUUCUAAGGGCACAUGAGUCAAACGCUUGUUGAUUGGCUGCCCUGCAGCCUUUGAAAAUGCGCCAUUAAAUCGCCGAACACCGAACUCCAACCCAAACAUACAGUGAUAUGUUCGGGUCCGGGGUCAAAAAAACGUAAUGUUCGGUACGAACCCGAACUUUACAGUCCGGGUUCGCUCAACUCUAUUAAGCACCCAUUUCACAUCCGCUCAAUACACAGAGAUCGGGAUUUUCACCUCUCCACAGAAUGCUCAAUUCUAUUCUAUGUUUGACCUCAGUGAACUCUAUUUCUUGCAGACAAACCUGGUGUAUGUCCUCCUGUUGUAAGCUUGGCCCUUGGAGUGUGUGGGACAUCUUGUAAAACAGAUAGUGAAUGCAUUGGUAAUUUGAAAUGCUGCCGAACAGGAUGCGAUGGGUACCAAUGUCAAACGCCAAAUGGUAAGAUUACACUAUUGAUAAGUUGUUCUUUUUACACAUCCUCUGAAUUCUCCUGUGCAAACAAUUCUCAUGGGCUCAAUCCCACCGCUUAGUUAGGAAGACUACCAUCUCUUUGCAUCCAGGGUUCAAAGUCACACUUCUUAUGCCCAGUUUCUUUCCAACAGCUAGCUCAAUGCAUUUCGUCCCAUGUCCUUGGACUUCCUCAGGAGUUGCUUUCCCACUUAGAGUUCAGAAUUUAAAUACGCCCUUUCCCGCAUCCAUACGAUUCAGCGCUUUACUGAGUGUCGGGACCGAUUUGCAUAUGUGCCGGAUCAUGUGAAUGUGGUAAAUGAAGUAUUUCAAUGUUAAACUCCAGAUGAGAAAUCAUCUCCCGAUGAAGUCCGAGGACAAGGGACAAAACGCGUUGAGCUAAGACUCCCACAAGAUAGCUAGCUGUUGGAGAGGAGCCAGGUAUAUGAACUGGGACUUCGAAUCCUGGAUGCCAAGAGAAGGUAGUCUAACCUAAGCGGUGGGAUGGAGCUCUUGGUGGCACUGUUUUAUUUGCACAUUUGUUUGUAUAUGUGAAAUUCAUUUUUUGGUUGUUUUUUUAACUGUUUUAUCUAUCUUUUAAAUUGAUUUACUACACUAUGAUUACACGAUUACUGUUUUUAUCUACGUUAAAUACUAUAGUCACCAGAACAACUACAGCUUAUUGUAUUUGUUCUGGUGAGUAUAAUUAUUCCCUUCAGGCUUUUUGCAGUAAACACUGUCUUUUCAGAUGGCUACUAGAGUUGCCUCCUGGGUCAGUGUUGCACAGUGAGCAGCACUGCCAUUCAGUGUCUCCACCCUCUGCAUGAAGACACUGAACUUUCCUCGUAGAGUUGCAUUGAUUCAAUUAAUCUCUAUGAGGAGAUGCUGAUUGGGCAGGGCUGUGUUUGACCUGUGCUGGAUCUGCCACUGACCUACCUUCUUGACAAGCUCAGUAAAUCCAAAGCUUUCCUGUCACUUUUGAUGAUGUCAGGCAGAUCAGGGACAGAGCCAGCAGCAGACUGGAAUUAAUGUAAGAUAUUGCUAUAUUUAUGGGGGUAAGGAGGACCCAGGGGAUUAGAUGGUAGUUUUAACACUAUAGGGUCAUACAUAAAUGUUUGUGUUCCUGACCCUAUAGUGUUCCUUUAAUGUAUGCAAACAUCUCUAAUUCAGUGUAAUGUUUCAUAACCGAUAUCCAAAUACCAGAGUGGUAACUGUACAAUUUAUUGACCCUGGUGAUGUGGCAUCCUCUACUACAUGUAGGGUUUUCUGUACGUACUUUUGUUGCAUGUAUAUUUUAAGGAUUGGAGAGUCAUCCUUUUAUAGAGGUUGCCUUCACUAAGUGUUUUUUACCUGACCGUUCAUAAGCCUGUUUGUUUACUUUUGCACUAUUUUGUUUAUAUAGAGCUAGAUACAUCUUUAUUUAGAUUACUGCUCCCCCUUGGGUUUUUGAUGGAUUAAAAUAUUUGUUCUGGUGAGUAGAAUCAUUCCCUUCAGGCUGUUUGCCGCAAACACUGUCUUUUCAGAGAAAAUGCAGUGUUUACAUUACAGCCUAGUGAUAACUCCACUGGCCAAUCCUCAGAUGGUUACUAGAGGUGUUUCAUGGGUCAGUGCUGCACAGUGUAUCCACCCUCUGCAUGAAGACGCUGAACUUUCCUAAUAGAGAUGCAUUGAGGAGAUGCUGAUUGGCCAGGGCUGUAUUUGACUUGGGCUGGCUAUGCCCUUAAUCUGCCUCCUUGACAGUCUCAGCCAAUCCUACGAGGAAGCAUUGUGAUUGGCUCAGACCACCACUUCUGAUGUCAGCAGGUAGUUUUAGGGCAGAGCAAACAACUGCAGAUUUGAAUACAAGUAAGAUUUUACUAUAUUUAAGGAGGCAAGAGAGGGUCAGAGGGGGGCUAUAUGGUGGUUUUAACGCGAUAGGGUCAGGAAUAUAUGUUUGUGUUCCUUUAAGGAGGAAGAGUUUCUAGUAGCUGUCAACCUGGUUUAUAGAAAAAUAGACUUUAUAGGUGGUAGAAAUCUAGAUGUAUCAAAAGUAUGUAUUAUGUCAUCACAUGGUUUUUGGAGUUUUUUUUGCUACACUUUGCAUAAGAAUUUAAUCUCUUUUCUGUCCCAAGGCAGCCGCCAUUGUAAAUCUGCUCCAAGUAUUCAUUCUGUCACAUAUUCUCAAGUACUCCUCCUUUGACUAUUACCUAAGUAUCUGCUUGCUUCGUCCACUAUUGUCAUACAUUGCUUCCUGUUUACGAACAUGCUGUGUCUGAAGUCUGUGGUUAUAACGUACCCAAAGCCAUUCAUUAGUGCUUGAUUACUAACCACUGUCUUGAUGACUGGGCUUGUGGCCAGGCAGUGCAUUAUUAUAGUAGUCAACAUGUGUUUAUGUGUUUGACGCUCGUGAUUAAAAAUGCUGUUUUAUCUUAAAAUAUUUUCUUGAUCUACUUUUAGAAAAACCAGGAAUUUGCCCUGAGAAUUCAAAUAGCACCACCUGUGACAGUACAAUUCACUGCUCAGUUGACUCAAAAUGUAAGGGGGACCUGAAAUGCUGUCCAACCGGAUGUGAUGGUUUCGCCUGCCAAAUUCCUAAAAGUAAGUAUUCAUGGUAAAAAAAGCCAGUAGAAAAAAAAACAAGCAUUGGUGAAAAAGUAUGGCAACAUAUAGAGGUGUUUAUCUGACAAAUUGCACACACUCCCAAUCUGAGUUAUAAAGCACUUAUUACCUAUAUGUUCUGGACGCAAAGGGGAAAAGGAUACCUGAUUUGGUUAGUGUCAGACUCUCUCAUGCGGGAUAAUUUCAUCAAAAUUGCAACAAGGUACAUAAAAAACAACAACUCAAACUGUUGAUAUUGCAGAAAUCUUUGAGAUUGUCUCAAUAUAUUUAUAAAACCAAAUGAACACCUCAAACCUUAGAUACAAAUAUUAAGAUCUUAGAUACAAACAGAAAGCUUUUACGUUUGCCAAACAUUAAAUGGAAAUUGUAUAUUGGCCAGAUUUUGUCUUGAGACUGACACAUCUGGUCAAAAAAAGUAACUUGCUUUCUGCUAGGGAUUUGAAAGAAUUCUGCACUAUUCUUUCACUGGUAUCGCUAGCAGGCAAAUAGUUAGCAAACUUUCGGAAGGGCAAUGGUUUACUAUUCAGUGGCUGGCUAGCUGUAAAAAUAAAAAAUGCUUUGACUUGCCUUAUUAGAGUGCUAUGUUUAAUUGUCAAUGUCACCUUGAAUCAUCAGUCUGUGUGGAGCCCUCCACUGGCUCACUUGAAUUAAUUUUUGUAAGGCGGUUUUUCAUUUAUUGUAUUUUUUUUUCUUUUUUUUUCUUUGUACUCUGGGUAUUUCUUUAAAAUUUUAUUUUAAGAAUCAGCACAAAUUAUGCAUUUUUAUUUGGCCUUUUUUUGGAUCUGAAAAAAUAAGAAAUUAGACAAAAGAAGCAUAUUGAGUCCUCCCACUGUUAUUAGGGUGAUGGAGGAUGUAGAGACAAAUUUAAAGAGGGUGACUAGGACCUUGGGGAUGUCCACCCCCCUUAUUGUCGCAAUAACCUUCCUUGGUGGGAGGAUAAGCGGGUGGACAGUAGCAUGUUCACCCCCUUUAUUAUUGUAAUAACCCCUACCUGAUGCCAAUGGGUAAAGGGGGUGGACAGUGGCAUAUCCACUCCCCCCCCCCCUUUAUUAGAUUUAUCGACCCAUGAGAGUAGUGUCCCCGGCCCCGAUCUGUAGGCAUUAGGUGGGAGGAUAUAUAAAUAUAAUAAAUGAUUGGCAUGCCACUGUCCACUUCCCUUGACAACCACUCACAGGCAUCAGGUGGAGGGCAAGACUUAUACACCCCCCACAACCAUAUACCCAUGGCAGUGGCGGAUCCAGAGCCUGAUCUCGGGAGGGCCACUUGUAGAUUAUUUAAAGAAAUAAUCCAGACACAAUAACCACUACAGCUCAGUGUAGUGGUUAUGGUGUCAAUAGUGGCGGGACCCCCUCCCAGAGUAAGUAGUCAAACUGUUUAAGAACAGUUUGACAACUUACCUGAGGUCUGCUGGGAAAUGGGGCUGUAGUAGGGCAUAGGAGCAGUGGUGUGUGUGUGGUGCAAUGUGUAAGGGGUGCAGUUUGUGUGUGAAGGUUGUAGUGUGUGAGUGAGGGCGGCAGUGUAUGUCAGGGAUGCAGUGUAUGUGUGGGACAGUAUGUAUGUGAGUAUUGCAGUGUGAGUGUGGGCAAUGUGUGAGUGUGGGGCAGUGUGUGUGUGUGAUAAGAAGGGUAGGGGGGCUUUAUAAAAAAAAAAAUAAAAAAAAAAAUAUAUAUAUUUUUAUUUAAUUAAAACAAAUAUUUAUGGCCCCCCUCCCUCCUUACCUUUACUGGGAGGAGGGGGGACAUUUCUGGAUCCUGGGUGGUCCCAGUGGUGAGAGUGAACUCUAGCCCGUAGUUCCAGGGCUAGAGUUCACUCUCGCGAGAUUUGGAGAGUUGCCGUGGUAACCGCGGCAACGCUCCGUCCUCGCGAGAGUAGGACCCGGAGGAGCUGAAGGCUGAGGUCCCGGGUCCUUCCUCCCUACCCUGCCAGCUGUCAGCACAGUGCCUGCGGACCGGGGAGGAGGAGAUCACUUAUCUCCCCUCUGGUCCGCGAAGGCACAUUGCAGGGCUGGCACCUGCAUGUGCUGGCAGGGGAGAGGGAGACCCUAAAUUGCCCCGAUCCGCCACUGACCCAUGAGUGGGUACUCGAAUCUCCCUGUGAACUUAGAAGUCCAAUCCCAAUAGUAUAGGGUCUUUAGAGCACUCUUUUCUUUUUAAGCCCUUCACUGCUGGGCAGUAGAGUAGGAUAAAGGUGAACCAUGUAAUGGUCCUCUCAUUCUAAUACCUCAUUCCACUGGCAAUAUAGAUAGUCUUCACCUGUGACCUGUCAAAGUAUUUAUUUAUCCCAUUAAUUAUGUGGGGGUCUUUUUGACCCCAAUGGAAUGUUUUUUUUUUUUUUAAUAAAUGCCAAUUGGCUAGCAAGUGCAGGACAACCUCCAUACUUUUAACCCUCGCAAUGCUGAGAUGUCGUUUAAAAAAACAACAAAAAAACAAAAAACAAAACUAUUUGGCCACUGGCUGGCAAAUCGUAUAGAUUUCUGAAAUCCGGCUUUUAACUGAUCUAGAUCCAUAUUUCAGCCAUUUUUAAAUAGUGCGAAAAAUUGAACAAUGUCUGUAUUUUGCUGUUGAGAGGCCAACAGAUAGAUCCAGGUUUUUACGAUGUACUAAUUAUAAAAAUAUUUUGUGUUAAACUAUUGAUAAAUAACCAUUUGAUAUAUUCAAGACAUUUGACCUGGUGUGACUUAAAUUGUCAUGACAGGUCAAAUUGUAUCUUGAUAACAAACGCUAAUGAUAUUUUUACGAAAAUAACCCAUUUAUGGUUUUCUUUAUUCUGUAUAAUAUUGUUACUCUGAAAUGUGUUACUUUUUAACAAAGAUUAAUAAAGAUGUAAUUAAACAAAUAAAAUCAUCCCACAAAACCAAAAGCUAAUUAAUCAGGUGAUGGUGAACAGCUUGUAUAAACUUUAAACCACAGAAUAUGCAUACUACCAGGGCCUGAGAUGUGGCUAAAGUUCAUCAACACCAGUUGCACACAAACCCCUGAGAAAGUUUGAGUCAGGAUGGUAGGAUCUUGAUAAAAAUCUUUACCCACUUACUUAAUAGUUUGCGAUUAUUAUUAUUUAUUUUUUUUUAUUCUGUUGUGUUAAGAGGAUUUGGUUAAUUGGGCUUCCGCUGAUAGGUUGUAACUUGAUACUGUUAAAACUAACAAGUCAAAUAAUAUGAUGUAUCUGUUAACACCAAGAGACCUCAACUAAUGCAAAUGAGCGAUGCCAUGUUAUAUGCCUGAUCGGUUCAUUCUAUGUAUAAUAUUGUAUGUACAUCAGAUAGUGUAACCAAAGCCACUUUGUAAAAAAGCUAAUUGAAAACAUAAAAGCUCUAAUCGGGCCUGGAAUUUUUCAGGAACCCACUUGGGUCUCCAACCUAGGUCAGCCCUUCUUCCUCUAUGAAUAAAAAUAUUUUGAACUCUAAAUUCUACAUUAAGCUCAUGCUCAUUAACUUUCUAUCUUGUGAUUUUACAGCGAUAUAACACUUUCUCAGAAAAACAACAUGAGCGAUGAAGAAACAUUUUAAGUCUACUUGUGGAUAUGAAUUUGUCCUAUUACACAACUGUGUACUUGAGAAUAAUCUUUUGUAUGGUGAUUAAAGAAAUAUAUAAAUAAAAAAAUUGAAGUUUGUUUGCUUUCACCUGUACUUGGGAAUGGUGAUACCAAAUGCCUACAAUCAUAUCUUAAUUUUAUCAAUUGAAAACUAAAGAAAAAUAUGCACAACCAUUAAAGGAACACUCUAGUGUCGGGGGUACGAACUAUAUUCCUGCCACUAUAGUUCUAAAGUAGCUGUUUAGGCAACCAGGCUCACUCAGAUAUCUUAAUUAUCUCAGCCAAGCCAAUCCAAUCCAAUAAGCAAGCAUUGGGAGACUAUUGCACAUGUGUGAGAAAAUAUCUCUAAGGGGAACGUUCAACACCUCCAUGCAGAGUAUAAAAGAAAUUGAACGCCAGUGCUGCAUACUAUGCAGCAGCACUGGAUAAGGAAACACCGCUAGUGGCCAUCUGAGUGACCGCCACUAGAGGUGAUCCCAGGCACCAAUGAAAACACUACAGUGGUUACACCAAAACCACUACAUUAAGCUGAGGUGGUUCUGAUGAUUAGUGUCCCUUUAACCUCUAAUAAAAAGUUUUGAGAUUGUAGUUCCACCCUAUAUUAUCUACCCUUUCCUGGUCGUGUGCGUGAAACCACUCAUGUCCAGGGGAUAUGGUAGCACCCACUGACCUCCGUGUUAACUCUCACAGUCACGCAAGAGUCAGCACUGAGGAUUGGAGUGAAAUGGUGUUUUUGUUUUUUCCUAAUUUUUUUAAUUUUUUUUUUUUUUAAACUCACAUUUUCAUUUAAGUGUAUUCUAAAGUUCCAGAUAAGAGACAUGACAAUUUUUUUUUUUUUUUUAAACAGUUCAGAUUCUGAUAGAUGGAUUUGAUAGGUCUAUGGCUCCUUUUGGGGUACUAUUGUGGUUUGAUUCUUCAAGUAACCCUACAACGACCUACCAUUUGUUAAAGUAAACCUCAUGUGGUGUGUCAUGAUCUAUUUUGAUCUUUGUUAUACAGCCAUUUUAGCACCACCCUCCCCUCCCAAAACAAAGUUGAAAAAUUGCUACUUUAAUAAAAACAACAUAUUAAAUUGUGCUCAGCUAGAUCUCCGGAGUACGGAAUGACCCAAUUCACACACCACUAUAGCAGAGGGAGCUAUAGUGCUAGGAAUACAGCUUUGUAUUCCUGGCACUAUAGUAUCCCAUUAAGGGAAGAACAAACCAUUUAGUCAUAAAGGGGAUAUAUGUCAAAUAAAAAUAUAUUACAAAACAAAUUAUACUAAGCAAACAGACGAAAUCAAGAUAAAUCAACAGAAAGCUCAAAUACUCACAGUCCUAGUGAAGCAACACUAUGUUCUGUCCUGAGAGAUUCUAGUGAACAAUUAUCCAACACAACUGCAAUUUGGCUGGUUGAGAAUAUAUUUUUACAGUCACCAACUAUGUGUAUGUAGUGUGACUACCAGACCGUGCUCUGGAAUAUUUAUAUAUACACAAAUCAAUUAUGUAAACCAUACAUCCGUUAGCCAUUUGGCUAGCACAACUUGUCAACAAAAUGUUCUACCUGAAUACGAACUUACUAACCAACCAUUUGGUCACAUAUGAGGACCUGGAACUUAUUUGUGACUUUCCUACAGUUCAUAAGAAUAUUGUUGGAACCAAAGCACUUCAGCUGUCAGCCUUAUUGACUGGGGCCUGGCUAGAAAGUGCUUCUUAAGGAGGGCAAUAUCUCUAAGUAAAGGAAAAUAUGUGCAUGUAAUUUGUACCUAUAGUAGGAUUUUGCUGCUCCAGGUGUUUUUCAUCCUUUGUGGUGUUAAUCAGGAAUAAACCAAGAAUGGAAUUCUUCCUCUAUCACACAGCAUGAAACACUUGGCAAGAUAUUGUGUUGUAUAUUUUUGGGGGUUAAUAAUGUCACAAAAAUGCCACUAUUUUGCUGGUGACAAUUCUAUUUUUUUCUUAGCACAUCUUCUCAACGCCCUGGGCCCCAUAUUCCCAUGAUUCUCUGUAUACACAAGCACCCAGACGUGUGCCACAAUUCCCUGUGUAUAAAAAGUGUCAUGUUGGCUUAUUAUGCAUUUUGCAAUGGUGUCAGUUUUCUUAAUUUUGUUCACAAAUUAGUGUUUUCUAAUGUGAUAAAAAAAAAUUAUUUAAAAUAGGGUCUUUAUAACAAGUUUUUCAUCCACUCCAAAAGUGGUGAAUUUGUCAUAGGCAAGGAGCUUUUGCCGUCUUUGUUUUAAU